rnacentral:lncRNA from 1 species
UUGGAGCGGUAGGUGCAUUUGGCACACAAAGCAAGCAUUCAAACCUUGGAGAGGAACAAUUCCCACUUUGGGUUGUGGAAGAGGCAGAGAGCACUAGUUGAGAUGGCCUCCUCUCGCUGUGCAACGAUGCCUUAGUGGGGGUAUAUCAUCAUGACGACUCCUCACCUCACCAUGUUUAUCCCCUCCUCCACCAUCACGACUUCCUUCCAGGCGUGCAGCUCUCAGUUGUGCUCCCCAUCAGAAGCUCCUAUUUCACCCAAUUCAUGCGCCAUCGAUGCUGCUGUGAGGGCAUGAUGGUUUCCAACUCUUCACAUGAUUGACUCGGGUCAUUAUUGCUGUCACUUUGUGUUGCUUAAGCAAAUACCUUUUGAAUCCAUUCCACAUGUUGCAACAAUAGAGAUCUGCAACCCAUAGGCUUUGACUCCAUUCCACAUGUUGCAACGAUAGAGAUCUGCAACCCACAGAGGCUUUGAAUCCAUUCCACAUGUUGCAACAAUAGAGAUCUGCAACAGUUCUGGUGAUUCAUAUAAGAAACAUACACAGGCUGAGUCCAUUCCACAUGUUGCAACAAUAGAUAUCUGCAACAGCACUGGUGAUCAUGUGACCCACAGAGGCUGCAAACAGUGAACAAGACUUGAGACAAGAGGAGGAAGAGGGGCUGACUUCACCUUUAAGGAUGUCCCUUCUUUGUUAACAAUCAUGGCUUCUCUUUCUCUUGAUUGUGUUUUGGAAGCAGCAAUGAUGGUCUGGUCUCCGUUCUAAACGUAUCAUCCCAAAGUCAACAUCUCCAAGGUUAGAUGGAGGAGAAAUGUGUGACACAGCUUCUCACUUCACUGUAAAAGAUAUAGAGGAGGCAGUACCAGAAGCCAGCAAGCUGAUCCCACUCUCCCAACACAAGGAACAGCAGAAGAGAUCAACAAAAUUGGUCAUAUGCCCAGCAUUAUUCUUAGGCUGAACAAAAUCCUCAUCCCUG